UUGUUCAUGUAUUCUAGAGGAAAAGAAAGGAAUAUCAUUAUAUACUGCUAAUG
rnacentral:antisense_RNA from 1 species